rfam:Triticum aestivum genome assembly, contig: Triticum_aestivum_CS42_TGACv1_scaffold_580313_7BL
ACAUGACGGUGAUGAUAAACCCUUUUAGCAAACAUGCCAGUUUUGCUUCUAAGAAUUCAAGACUGGAAAACAUGUUAUAGAUCUGAGCCAUGA